CACUUCUAAGGAAGGCAGCAGGCGCGCAAAUUACCCAAUCCUGACUCAGGGAGGUAGUGACAAGAAAUAACAAUAAACCGGCUUAUGCCGGUUUAAUUGGAAUGAGUACAAUUUAAACAUCUUAACGAGGAACAAUUGGAGGGCAAGUCUGGUGCCAGCAGCCGCGGUAAUUCCAGCUCCAAUAGCGUAUACUAAAGUUGUUGCAGUUAAAAAGCUCGUAGUUGGAUUUCUGUGGGGACGGAGCGGCCGGCCGCACAUCGCGGUUCGAGCUAGCGCUUUCCCUACAUCCUGCCGCGAACCGUGCUACCAUUAGUUUGGUGGCGCCGGGGAUCGGCUCGAUUACUUUGAGAAAAAUAGAGUGUUCAAAGCAGGCCACAUGCCUUGAAUAAGUUAGCAUGGAAUAAUAACUAAGGACUUCGGUUCUAUUUUGUUGGUGUUCGGGACUGAAGUAAUGAUUGAUAGGGACAGUUGGGGCGGUCUGUAUUCCAAAGCGAGAGGUGAAAUUCUUAGACCUUCGGAAGACAAACAGCUGCGAAAGCGUUCCGCAAGGAUGUUCCCUUUGAUCAAGAACGAAAGUUGGGGGAUCGAAGACGAUCAGAUACCGUCGUAGUCUCAACUAUAAACUAUACCAGCUAGGGAUCGGCCAACGUUAUUUUAUACCGACUUGGUCGGCACCUUAUGAGAAAUCAAAGCAUCUGGGUUCCGGGGGGAGUAUGGUCGCAAGGCUGAAACUUAAAGGAAUUGACGGAAGGGCACCACCAGCCGUGGAGCCUGUGGCUUAAUUUGACUCAACACGGGAAGACUUACCAGGUCCAGACAUAGUAAGGAUUGACAGACUGAUAGCUCUUUCUUGAUUCUGUGGGUGGUGGUGCAUGGCCGUUCUUAGUUGGUGGAGUGAUUUGUCUGGUUAAUUCCGUUAACGAACGAGACCCCAGCCUGCUAAAUAGCGCGCAUGAGCUUUGCUCGUGGCGAGCUUCUUAGAGGGACUAUGAUGCGCGAUAGCACAUGGAAGUUUGGGGCAAUAACAGGUCUGUGAUGCCCUUAGAUGUUCUGGGCCGCACACGGGCUACACUGGCGCCUGCAACGAGCAUAUCAGCUGGCCCGAGAGGGUCUUGGCUAAUCUUUUGAACCGGCGCCGUGCUUGGGAUUGACCUUUGCAAUUGUUGGUCAUGCAACGAGGAAUGCCUUGUAAACGCGAGUCAUCAGCUCGCAUUGAAUACGUCCCUGCCCUUUGUACACACCGCCCGUCGCUCCUACCGAUGAAUGUUCCGAUGAAAUUUUCGGAGAGUGCCUGUGAACUUGGCUCUGCCUUGCGAACGGGAAGCUCAAAGUCACUUAAAUCUGAACAUUUCGAGG
rnacentral:rRNA from 1 species